UACGUAGGGGGCAAGCGUUAUCCGGAUUUACUGGGUGUAAAGGGAGCGUAGACGGCCAGACAAGUCUGAAGUGAAAAUCCAGCGCUUAACGUUGGAAGUGCUUUGGAAACUGCCGGGCUAGAGUGCAGGAGGGGCAGGCGGAAUUCCUAGUGUAGCGGUGAAAUGCAUAGAUAUCACGCAGAACUCCGAUUGCGAAGGCAGCGUACCGGCGCCCAACUGACGCUGAAGCACGAAGGCGUGGGUAUCGAACAGG
rnacentral:rRNA from 1 species